AUCUCUACCGGCAGCAUACAGCUCCGGGCAGAGACAUAUCUGUGCGGGGGCCCCGCAGGCAAUCCCGUCCGAAACUGAAAAGUGAAAACCGGGUUGGAUCCCUGACUGUGGGGCUCACCUUGAUGUAUGUGACUUACAUCCACACCGUACAUUCAUUUUUACAGCUCAUUUUAGGACAUGAUUCCAAAAAUGAAGCAGAUCCAAAUCUUAACUGGACCUCAGCAUAGGAAACAGUCUUGAUUGAAUCCCCACCCUUAAAAAUUCCACCUAAUCUGUUGAUAAUGUAAAAAAGAUGUCCACGACGAGACCACACAAAUAUCAGCUUGAUCCAAAACUUUCGAGGCCCAUGAAAAGUUUUUAAUGUUAAAUUAAAAUUACCACUGUUUCCUGUAUUAUGGUCCAUCUUAGAUUUAUAUCUGCUUCGUUUUGGUAUAACGCCCUCAAAUGAGUUUUCAAAACGGAUGGACGGAGAGGAUACAAGGAAUACCUCAGGGUGGGCCUCACGGGCAGGGUCCCACCCACCUCGGUGAAUAGGGAAUCCACCGAAGCCGCGUCCGAAAACCCGAGGAUACUACUGUUCAUCUCCGGUCGAGGGCCUUAUAAUUCCUCCACCCGAAAAUGAAAAGCCUUCCCUAAACCCUUCUCAUUUACACACCUCCUCGUCAGAUGGCGUCUCGAUUUCAAACCCUCUCGAAACCCAGUCUCUCUCUCCUCAAAUCUGCCAUGAGAAAGCCUAACAAACCCAUCUCUCCAACCCUCCUUCCUCGCCCAUUCCCCACCUUUUCCAGGCAAUUCUCUCUUCCUUAAAAUUUUCUCCUAUUUUCUUCAAUCAGUGCAGCUCACCUUUUUUUUUUUUUAUAUUUUUUUUGUUGGAUUGAGGAUUGCAGGCUGCCGUCUGAGAUGGCUUGUCUUCAAUCCCUCCUUCCGUUCCACAGCGCGGUGUCGGCGGCCUGCCUCACGUCGUGCCUGGCCAUCGAUUCGAGGAGCUCCAGAUCGUUGUCUCAGGGUAUGCUCUGCCGUGCAAAUCCAGGAGUCUGAUCUCAUGUUUUUAGUUUUUAUGAAACUGGGUCUUUGUGUUCCGCGAUGAAUGCUUGAAGUACGCAGCGAACUGGAUGGAGUUCAUUCUAAGGCUCGAAAUUUUGCUGAAGUUAUGUUAAUCUGAGAUUCUUAUAGGAGAAUAAUGUAUCCUAAGAGUUUUGAGUUUGGGUUUGGGUUUCCAUUGCCUGCUUGUGCUCUUUACUGCCAGAAGGUAUUUCUAAUGCAUUUCUAGUUGCAAGGCAGAGCAUUGAAAAGAUAAACUCUUUUGAGUUUAAUAUUGUUCCCAUUCAAAGGUAUGCUUCUAUGCUGAUUUCUAACUUCAUUAUUGAAACUCCUUGGCUAUUUUCAAGUAAAACUUGUUUGCGAACUUGAA